GCAAGCCCAUGUCCCAUUUUCUUUUCACAAGUCAAAGGACGAGAUGGAGGCCUUAGAGGAUGAAUUUCAUGAAUUAGUUUUAAAUCAAGCAACAACAGCAGCAAGUUCUAGUUCCUGUUCAAACAAAGGUGGUACUCAUACCACAGUUAAUAUUGAUGAAUGAUCACUGAUUGGGAGGAUGGAAGGUCGCCUUUUGUAUAGGAGGCAGUUUUUUUGGAUAUAUUUUGAAGCUUUUUUGGACAGAUGUGUAGCUUUUCUA